rnacentral:misc_RNA from 1 species
AACGCACGAGACCUGCGGACCUGCGGAAGGAUCAUUACAGAGUUGCAAAACUCCCAAACCAUUGUGAACGUUACCUUCUCGUUGCUUCGGCGGGCGGCCCGGGUCCUUCCCGGCGCCCCCCGGCCCCUCGCGGGCGCCCGCCGGAGGUAAACCAAACUCUUGAAUUGUAUGGCCUCUCUGAGUCUUCUGUACUGAAUAAGUCAAAACUUUCAACAAUGGAUCUCUAGAUCGGAAGAGCAC